UCCUACGGGGGGCAGCAGUGAGGAAUAUUGGUCAAUGGCCGGAAGGCUGAACCAGCCAAGUCGCGUGAGGGACGACUGCCCUAUGGGUUGUAAACCUCUUUUAUAAGGGAAGAAUAAAUGCUACGUGUAGCAUGAUGCCUGUACCUUAUGAAUAAGCAUCGGCUAACUCCGUGCCAGCAGCCGCGGUAAUACGGAGGAUGCGAGCGUUAUCCGGAUUUAUUGGGUUUAAAGGGUGCGUAGGCGGGCUUUUAAGUCAGCGGUAAAAAUUCAGGGCUCAACCCCGUCCGGCCGUUGAAACUGGGGGC
rnacentral:rRNA from 1 species